UUUUGCAUUCAUUGAUAGGUGUCACCGUCAGCAAGGGAUGUGCAUCAACUUGUACUGUAACAACAGCUUUCCCGCGAGAUGAGUGCUGUGAGGGAGAACUGUGUAACGAUAAAUUGAUUUGCUUCAAAUGUGCUGAAACAACCGAUGAAAGUUCCUGUACUUCGAGUCCAUGUGCAGCUGAAGCAUUCUGCAAGAGUGACUACAAACUGAACGGGGCAGGAGUGCCUGUUGUCACUAAGUCCUGUGCAGCUGAUUGCAAAGCUGUUGACAAUACAGCAGACAAAAACGUGAGGACAACUUGCUGCAAAACAGGCUAUUGUAAUGGAAAUGCCUUGAGUUGCAACACUUGUACUAAUGAAGCUGACGAACCAAAAUGUGCAGCAACAGCCUGCGCUGCAGCUGACAAACUAUGUCAGAGCACUUAUACCCUCACUG